AUUGAACGCUGGCGGCAUGCCUUACACAUGCAAGUCGAACGGUAACGCGGGGCAACCUGGCGACGAGUGGCGAACGGGUGAGUAAUGUAUCGGAACGUGCCCAGUUGUGGGGGAUAACUGCUCGAAAGAGCAGCUAAUACCGCAUACGACCUGAGGGUGAAAGCGGGGGAUCGCAAGACCUCUCGCAAUUGGAGCGGCCGAUAUCAGAUUAGGUAGUUGGUGGGGUAAAGGCUCACCAAGCCAGCGAUCUGUAGCUGGUCUGAGAGGACGACCAGCCACACUGGGACUGAGACACGGGCCAGAAGCCUAAGGGAGGCAGCAGUGGGGAAUUUUGGACAAUGGACGCAAGUCUGAUCCAGCCAUGCCGCGUGCGGGAAGAAGGCCUUCGGGUUGUAAACCGCUUUUGUCAGGGAAGAAACGCUCUGGGUUAAUACCUCGGGGUAAUGACGGUACCUGAAGAAUAAGCACCGGCUAACUACGUGCCAGCCGCCGCCGUAA
rnacentral:rRNA from 1 species